UCGUGAAUGCUAGUCUUGUCCAAACACAUCAACAUGCCAUUUAUAAAUCCCAAUGCUUAUCUUAUAAUUGCUCCAUCUCCCAUCCAGCUCUUCCAAAAAUGAAUCUUCUUGAGCCACCGACAACCAUUCAAAACCCUAACCGGAAAGCUUUUUAAGUGUGAUGAGCUCAGAUCAAAACAGUAAAAAUUAAGCUAAUAAUUAAAGAGCUAUAAGAAAUCACCUGCACAAAAUGAAGCAAGCCCCUACAAUAGUAAACAAUCUAGCGCUAGAAGUAAUAAAUAAAAAAAACUCAAACCAUCUACAGGUGUAAUUUAAUGAUAAAAAUUUAAGAUUAAAGAAUUUGUUUUUCAAAUGAUUUCAGGUUUGAGUCUUGUGAUUUCUAAUAUAAUAAUUAUUAGAGAUUUAUAUGGUUAUUAACUUUAUGAUUUGUGAGAUUAAUUAAAAUACAUACAAGCUGAUUUGAACACCUAUAUUAAUAAAAAUAAUAAAAAAAAACAAGAAAGAAAACUCAACAGUGACAGUACACAAAUCCAAAGGAUCGAGAGCCCUUAAUUUAAAAUUUUGAUUCCAUGCAGGCUCAAUGCAAUCUAAGGCACAUAUUGAGUAACAGACAGAAUCUGUUUAAUUUUAUAAACGUCAAAGUAUACAAAGACAGAACAACAAGUUAAGAGAUUAAAAGAAAACAAAUCUGUACCCAAAAUGGAGCUGAUGAUGAGAAUCCUGAUUACUGUAAAUCUGAUAGAUUGAUAGUAUCCUCCACAUUUCUAAAAAAAGGUCUUGUUGUCUCCUUCGUCUGAUCCUGGCUGCCUUCCGGCGACAUGGAACUCGAACUCCUUCGCAUUCAUUUCUCUCUUCCAAAACCUGUGGGCUGUGGCCGUAAAACCCUGCAAAAAA
rnacentral:lncRNA from 1 species